rnacentral:rRNA from 1 species
AGUUCAAUUAUGGCUCAGAUUGAACGCUGGCGGGAUGCUUUACACAUGCAAGUCGAACGGCAGCACGGACUGGUUCAGUGGCGAGUGGCGAACGGGUGAGUAAUGGGUUUGGAACGUGCCUAGUAGUGGAUAACUACGCGAAAGCGUAGCUAAUACCGCAUACGCCCCUUGGGGAAAGCGGGGACUGGGCCUCGCACUAAUAGAGCGGCUGAUAUCGAUUAGCUGGUUGUGGUGAACGCUCACCAAGCUAAUGAUCCGUAGCUGGUUUGAGAGGACGACCAGCCACACUGGGACUAGAGACACGGCCCAGACUCCGCCGGAGGCAGCAGUGGGGAAUUUUGACAAUGGGAAUCCCUGAUCCAGCCAUCCGCGGUGCGAUGCAGGCCUCGCUGUAAAGCACUUUUGGCAGGAAAGAAACGGCACGGAUAAUACCCCUGCGCAACUGAUUGGUACCUGCAGAAUAAGCACCGGCAACCACGCCAGCAGCCGCGGUAUAUGUAGUAAAGCGUUAACGGAAUUACUGGCGUAAAGUGCGCAGGCGUCGGAAAGAAAGAUGUGAACCAGAGCUAACUUUGGAACUACUUUUAACUACCGAGCUAGAGUGUAGUCAGAGGGAGGUGGAAUUCCGCGUGUAGCAGUGAAAUGCGUAGAUAUGGAGUGAACACCGAUGGCGAAGGCAGCCUCCUGGGAUAACACUGACGCUCAUGCACGAAAGCGUGGGGAGCAAACAGGAUUAGAUACCCUGGUAGUCCACGCCUCAAACGAUGUCAACUAGCUAAGUUAGGGGGCCUUCGGGCCUUGGUAGCGCAGCUAACGGCAGGAAGUUAACGCCUGGGAGCACAAUGCAAGAUUAAAAACUCAAAGGAAUUGACGGGGACCCGCACAAGCGGUGGAUGAUGUGGAUUGGUUCGAUGCAACGCGAAAAACCUUACCUUACCCUUGACAUGUCUGAAUCCUGAAGAGACGGGGGAGUGCUCGCAAGAGAACCGGAACACAGGUGCUGCAUGGCUGUCGCUCAGUCGUCGUGAGAUGUUGGGUUAAGUCCCGCAACGAGCGCAACUUUGUCAUUAGUUGCUGAUGAAAGGCACCUUAAUGAGACUGCCGGUGACAACCGGAGGAAGGUGGGGAUGACGUCAAGUCCUCAGCGCAUCUAUGGUAGGGCUUUCUACCGUCAUACAAUGGUCGGGAGGAGGUGUCGCCAACCGGUGAUGGGGAGCCAAUCCUGUGAAACCCGAUCGUAGUCCGGAUCGCAGUCUGCAACCUGACUGCGCGGAAGUCGGAAUCGCUAGUAAUCGCGGAUCAGCAUGUCCGCGGUGAAUAUGCUCCCGGCCCUGUACACACCGCCCGUCAUGUUCAAGGGAGUGGGUUUUACCAGAAGUAGUUAGCCUAACUGUAAGGAGGGCGAUUACCACGGUAGGAUUCAUGACUGGGGUGAAGUCGUAACAAGGUAACCUGAGCAUUACCUGAUGCUCCGGUGAGCAACAUGUGAAU